rnacentral:rRNA from 1 species
AUUGAACGCUGGCGGCAGGCUUAACACAUGCAAGUCGAGCGGAGAUGAGGUGCUUGCACCUUAUCUUAGCGGCGGACGGGUGAGUAAUGCUUAGGAAUCUGCCUAUUAGUGGGGGACAACAUUCCGAAAGGAAUGCUAAUACCGCAUACGUCCUACGGGAGAAAGCAGGGGAUCUUCGGACCUUGCGCUAAUAGAUGAGCCUAAGUCGGAUUAGCUAGUUGGUGGGGUAAAGGCCUACCAAGGAGACGAUCUGUAGCGGGUCUGAGAGGAGGAGCCGCCCAACGGGGACUGAGACACGGCCCAGACUCCUACGGGAGGCAGCAGUGGGGAAUAUUGGACAAUGGGGGGAACCCUGAUCCAGCCAUGCCGCGUGUGUGAAGAAGGCCUAUGGUUGUAAAGCACUUUAAGCGAGGAGGAGGCUACUGAGACUAAUACUCUUGGAUAGUGGACGUUACUCGCAGAAUAAGCACCGGCUAACUCUGUGCCAGCCGCCGCCGUAA